rnacentral:lncRNA from 1 species
GAUUGAGUUUGGAAUUAUAUAUGGAUAUUUGAUCUAGAGAAUGUGAGUAUGCUUAGUUUUCCUUUAUUUGCUAUUGUUUAUGUACUAAGUUGAAGAUUUGAUGUUUGCAUAAUAGGUCCUUUGGGUGGGAUGAGUUGAGCCUGACUAUGGUUAUUGUCCUUUGUUUUUAUGGUUUUUCUUUUGCUUGAGGACAAGCAAACAUUCAAGUUUGGGGGUAUUUGAUGU